CCCCGGUAAACGGCGGCCGUAACUAUAACGGUCCUAAGGUAGCGAAAUUCCUUGUCGGGUAAGUUCCGACCUGCACGAAUGGCGUAAUGAUGGCCAGGCUGUCUCCACCCGAGACUCAGUGAAAUUGAACUCGCUGUGAAGAUGCAGUGUACCCGCGGCAAGACGGAAAGACCCCGUGAACCUUUACUAUAGCUUGACACUGAACAUUGAGCCUUGAUGUGUAGGAUAGGUGGGAGGCUUUGAAGUGUGGACGCCAGUCUGCAUGGAGCCGACCUUGAAAUACCACCCUUUAAUGUUUGAUGUUCUAACGUGGACCCGUAAUCCGGGUUGCGGACAGUGUCUGGUGGGUAGUUUGACUGGGGCGGUCUCCUCCUAAAGAGUAACGGAGGAGCACGAAGGUUGGCUAAUCCUGGUCGGACAUCAGGAGGUUAGUGCAAUGGCAUAAGCCAGCUUGACUGCGAGCGUGACGGCGCGAGCAGGUGCGAAAGCAGGUCAUAGUGAUCCGGUGGUUCUGAAUGGAAGGGCCAUCGCUCAACGGAUAAAAGGUACUCCGGGGAUAACAGGCUGAUACCGCCCAAGAGUUCAUAUCGACGGCGGUGUUUGGCACCUCGAUGUCGGCUCAUCACAUCCUGGGGCUGAAGUAGGUCCCAAGGGUAUGGCUGUUCGCCAUUUAAAGUGGUACGCGAGCUGGGUUUAGAACGUCGUGAGACAGUUCGGUCCCUAUCUGCCGUGGGCGCUGGAGAACUGAGGGGGGCUGCUCCUAGUACGAGAGGACCGGAGUGGACGCAUCACUGGUGUUCGGGUUGUCAUGCCAAUGGCACUGCCCGGUAGCUAAAUGCGGAAGAGAUAAGUGCUGAAAGCAUCUAAGCACGAAACUUGCCCCGAGAUGAGUUCUCCCUGAGACUUAGAGUCUCCUGAAGGAACGUUGAAGACGACGACGUUGAUAGGCCGGGUGUGUAAGCGCAGCGAUGCGUUGAGCUAACCGGU
rnacentral:rRNA from 2 species